rnacentral:rRNA from 1 species
AGAGUUUGAUCCUGGCUCAGAUUGAACGCUGGCGGCAGGCCUAACACAUGCAAGUCGAGCGGUAGCACAGAGAGCUUGCUCUCGGGUGACGAGCGGCGGACGGGUGAGUAAUGUCUGGGAAACUGCCUGAUGGAGGGGGAUAACUACUGGAAACGGUAGCUAAUACCGCAUAAUGUCGCAAGACCAAAGUGGGGGACCUUCGGGCCUCAUGCCAUCAGAUGUGCCCAGAUGGGAUUAGCUAGUAGGUGGGGUAACGGCUCACCUAGGCGACGAUCCCUAGCUGGUCUGAGAGGAUGACCAGCCACACUGGAACUGAGACACGGUCCAGACUCCUACGGGAGGCAGCAGUGGGGAAUAUUGCACAAUGGGCGCAAGCCUGAUGCAGCCAUGCCGCGUGUGUGAAGAAGGCCUUCGGGUUGUAAAGCACUUUCAGCGGGGAGGAAGGCGUUAAGGUUAAUAACCUUGGCGAUUGACGUUACCCGCAGAAGAAGCACCGGCUAACUCCGUGCCAGCAGCCGCGGUAAUACGGAGGGUGCAAGCGUUAAUCGGAAUUACUGGGCGUAAAGCGCACGCAGGCGGUCUGUCAAGUCGGAUGUGAAAUCCCCGGGCUCAACCUGGGAACUGCAUUCGAAACUGGCAGGCUAGAGUCUUGUAGAGGGGGGUAGAAUUCCAGGUGUAGCGGUGGAAUGCGUAGAGAUCUGGAGGAAUACCGGUGGCGAAGGCGGCCCCCUGGACAAAGACUGACGCUCAGGUGCGAAAGCGUGGGGAGCAAACAGGAUUAGAUACCCUGGUAGUCCACGCCGUAAACGAUGUCGAUUUGGAGGUUGUGCCCUUGAGGCGUGGCUUCCGGAGCUAACGCGUUAAAUCGACCGCCUGGGGAGUACGGCCGCAAGGUUAAAACUCAAAUGAAUUGACGGGGGCCCGCACAAGCGGUGGAGCAUGUGGUUUAAUUCGAUGCAACGCGAAGAACCUUACCUGGUCUUGACAUCCACAGAACUUUCCAGAGAUGGAUUGGUGCCUUCGGGAACUGUGAGACAGGUGCUGCAUGGCUGUCGUCAGCUCGUGUUGUGAAAUGUUGGGUUAAGUCCCGCAACGAGCGCAACCCUUAUCCUUUGUUGCCAGCGGUUCGGCCGGGAACUCAAAGGAGACUGCCAGUGAUAAACUGGAGGAAGGUGGGGAUGACGUCAAGUCAUCAUGGCCCUUACGACCAGGGCUACACACGUGCUACAAUGGCAUAUACAAAGAGAAGCGACCUCGCGAGAGCAAGCGGACCUCAUAAAGUAUGUCGUAGUCCGGAUUGGAGUCUGCAACUCGACUCCAUGAAGUCGGAAUCGCUAGUAAUCGUAGAUCAGAAUGCUACGGUGAAUACGUUCCCGGGCCUUGUACACACCGCCCGUCACACCAUGGGAGUGGGUUGCA